rnacentral:lncRNA from 10 species
GGCUGGAGUGCAGUGGUACAAAAACAGCUCACUGCAGCCUUGACCUCCUGGCCUCAAGAGAUCCGCCCACGUCAGCUUCCUGAGUAGCUGGGACCACAGGCAUGUGGUCUUGAUCUCCUGGGCUCAAGCAAUUCCUCUGCCUCAGCCUCCAGAAAUGUUUGGAUUACAGAUGUGAACCACUGCACCUAGUCUUAAGGUAUUUUUAACUAAGAGACAUGGUCUUGCUGUAUUGCCCUCAAACUCCUGGCCUCAAGUGAUCCUCCUGCCUCGGCUUCCCAAAUUACAGAUAACAUCUAUGACACUGAUCCAUUCCAGCAAGCAUUUUAUUCUGGCACUCUUGAUAGCACAGAUAGAGGAGACUCAAAAGACUGACAGAAGACCCCAGAUUCAAGGCUUUCACUUCCACCAUGACAGCAUGAGGAGCUCCAUGGACAUACUUCCCAGUGAAACUAGUAGAAAUUAAAAAUAACAAAACAACAAAAACAAACAUUUUAAAGUCUCUGGAAAUGGUCUUAUGUGCAUGCAGCAAAUGAAGAAACAUCCAUACAAGAAAAUCAGCUAAAACUUGGUAAGAACAGUGAGAAUCUGUAGUAUGUAAACUGAGACCUACUUUCUUUGUGCUCCCAACUCAGCAAUACAGAAACUGUACUCCAAUCUGGUGUGGCGAAGAACACAGAGUUUUCUCUCUCUCCAGCUCUCAGUAGGACGGCUUUCUACUAGUAUGAUCAAGGUGACAGCAUUUCUCAUACUGUCCCCAGCAAUUUAUUGGUAAGAUUACAUUCCAGGCAAAUGUAGCACAGAAGUAGAUGCUUUCUUCUUCUGUCCCAAUUUUGGGAUGGAGGCUCUACCUUGGAUCCAAUGCCAUUGAGAAUACUAUAGACCAAAUAGUCCUAUCUCUGGCUCAUAGGAAGUGGUAUCACACUGGAAGAGGCAAGCUUAGAAGACCUGUGGAUACUGCCACAAGUACUUUUAAAAUAACAUAACAAAUAUUUUUGUCCCAAAAUACUUAACAGACCUGUAAACGCUUAACAUCUUGGUGGGGUUAGUGUGUUUAGCAGUUUUCUGGUUACAGACAGAGCAUGGGAUUUGAUGAUUGAACUGAAGGAGCAUUUUUCAUGUUUCAUUUUACAGAUAGCACAGGAUUCUUUUUAGUUUUAGAAGUCUUUCAAAAUAAGAAGUCAAAUGAGGUAAGUAAGAUAUCACAAAUAAUCUAUUAGAUAUAAUGACAAGCAUUGCACCUUGUCAACAAGCAAGUUAAGAAGACAUGAGGAAAGUUCUGGAAUUUCUUGAGAGAAAAAUUAAAAGUUCAAUAUCUGUACUGAAAAUAACCCCCAAAUGAGAGUUUCAGGCAAACUUCUUAGCUUGAAAUUAACAUUUAUAAUAAGGAUCAGAAUAACAGUGGUUUGGGUUUUAAUGUUUCAAUCUAGAAAGAUUUGGCUGGGUGUGGUGGCUCACGCCUAUAAUCCCAGCAUUUUGGGAGGUCGAGGCAGGAGAAUCACUUAGGUCAGGAGUUCAAGACCAGCCUGGCCAAUGUGGUGAAACCCAGUCUCUACUAAAAAUACAAAAAAAGCCGGGCAUCACCAUGCCUGUAGUCCCAGCUACUUGGGGGGCUGAGGCACCAGAAUCACUUGGACCCAAGAGGUGGAGGUUGUAGUGAGCCAAGAUCAUGCCACUACACUCCAGCCUGGGUGACAGAGUGAGACUCUGUCUAAAAAAAAAAAAAAAAUAAGAAAAAAAAUUUUUUAUUCUUCUCAUGUACUCCUCAAUCAUUAGCUACUUAAUUCUUGAGCCAACUGAACAACUGUCACGUGCCAGAUACUUUACUAUGUAACAGGCAGAGAGAAAGGAAGAGUGUGUAUUGUUGAGAGAAGUGGAAAGAGAAUAAAAGAUGUAAGGGAAAAAGAAAACAAGUCCUUUAUCAUUAAGAAGUUUGGCAUGUCCAUAUGAAACAUAUUCAUAUCACUGUAACUUGGCAGGUAUACAAAUGUUCCAAGAAAGGAACACACAACAUGAUUGUCUUCUCCAAAGCAUGAUUAAUGAUCCCUUCUCUUCAACUAUGCCUUAUUUUACAUUUCUUUGUUGUUUUUUGUAUUAGGCCAUUCUUGCACUGCUAUAAAGAAACACCUGAGACUGCCUAAUUUAUAAACAAAAAAAGUUUUAAUUGGCUCAUGGUUCUGAAGGCUAUACAGGAAACAUGGUGCUGGCAUCUGCUUCUGGUGAGGCCUCAGGAAGCAUACAAUCAUGGCAGAAGGCCACAGAAAGCCAGCAUGGUGAAAGGAGGAGUAAGAGAGAAAGAGUGGGGAGGUUCCACACACUUUUAAACAACCAGAUCUCACAAGAACGAACUCACUAUCAUAAGGACAGCACCAAGAAAUUCAGGAGUAGUCUGCCCACAUGACCCAUCUCCUUCCAGGCCCCACUCCUUCCAGGCCCCACCUCCACCACUGGGAAUUACAUUUCAACAUGAUAUUUGGGCAGAAGAACCAACGUGCAAACUAUAUUAUUCCACUGCUGGCCCCCAAAUAUUACAUCCUCUUCACAUGGAAAAAUAUAGCCAUCCCCUGCCAAUAGUCCCCAAAAGUCUUAACCCAUUCCAGCAUCAAGUCUAAGGUCCUAAGUUACACCUGAGACACACUUCCGUUUACCUAUGAGCCUGCAAAAUUAAAACAAGUUAUGUACUCAAAAUACAAUGGUAGUUCAGGCCUUGGGUAAACAUUACCAUUCCAAAGGGAAGAAAUUGGCCAAAAGAAAAGGGCAAUAGGCUCCAUGCAAGUUUGAAACCUAGCAGGAAUAUCACUAAAUGUUAAAGUUCCAAAACAAUCUCUUUUGACUCCAUGGCCCACAUCUAGAGCACAUUGCUGCAAGGGGUGGUGGGCUCCCAAGGUGUUGGACAGCUCAGCCCCUGUGGUUUUGUAGGCUGUAGCCCCCACAGCUGUCCUCACAGGUUGGAAUUAAGUGUCUGUGGCUUUUUGAGGUACAGGGUGAAAGCUGCUGGUAUAUCUACCAUUCUAACUUCUGGCAGCAGCCUCCUUCUCAAAACUCCACUAGGCAGUGCCCCAGUGGGGACUCUGUGUGGGAAUGCCAACCCAUAUUUUCUCUAGUCAUUGCCCUAGUAGAGAUUAUCUGUGAGGGCUCUACUCCUGCAGCAAGAGUGUGCUUGGGCACCCAGGCUAUCUCACAUAUCCUCUGAAAUCUAAGUGGAAGCCACCAAGCCUCCUUCAUUUUUGCAUUCUGUGCACCCACAAGCUCAAUAUCACAUGAAAGCCAUUAAGCCUUAUGGGUGUGCCCUCCAGAGUGUCAGCCUGAGCUGUACCUGGGGCCUUCGAGACACAGCUAUAGCUGUAGCAGUCAAGAUGUGAGAAGCAUCCUCCCAAUGUGGCACAGGUCAUUGGUGCCAUGGACCUAGACCUUCAAGCCAUUCUUUCCUCCUAGGCCUCUGGGCCUGUGAUGACAGGGACAACCUAGAAGAUUCCUGAAAUAUCUUUGAGGCCUUUUUGCUACCGUCUUGGAUAUUAGCACUUUUACUCAUAUUAAUCUCUUUAACAAAUGGUUGCUCCACAGCCUGUUUAGAUUUUUUCUCUACCAUACUGCCAGGCUGCAAAUUUUCCAAACUGAUAUUGUGUCCCUUUUAAAUAGAUGUUUCAAAUUUAGGUCAUGUAUUUGCUCCUGUAUUUGGUCAUAGGCUGUUAGAAGCAGCCAAGCCAUAUCUUGAACACAUUUCUUAGAAAUUUCUUCCACCAGAUACUGUAGGACAUCAUUCUUAAAUUCAAACUUCCAUAGAUCCCUAGAGCAUAAACACAAUGUGCCAAGCUCUUUGCUAAGGUAUAACGUGGGUGAUCUUUACUCUAGUCUCCAAUAACUUUCUUUUUUCCAUCUGAGACCUCAUCAGCCUGGCCUUCACUGUCCAUAUUUCUAUGAACAUUUUGCUUACAACCGUUUAACAAGUCUCUAAGAAGUUCCAAACUUUCCCUUAUCUUCCUGUCUUCUUCUAAGCCCUCCAAACUCUUCAAACCUCUUCCCAUUACCCACUUCCACAUUUUCAGGUAUCUUUAUAGCAAUGUCCCAUCCCUGAGUACCAAUAUUCUGUGUUAGGCCAUUUUAUUACUAUAAAGAAAUACCUGAGGCUGGGUAAAUUAUAAAGAAAAAAAGGUUUAAUUGGCUCAUAGUUCUGCAGGCUUUAUAAGUAGCAUGGUUCUGGUAUCUGCUUCUGGUGAGGCCUCAGGAAGCUUACAAUCAUGGCAGAAGGCCGCAGGGAGCCAGCAUUUUACAUAGGAAAAGCAGGAGCAAGAGAGAGAGUGGGGAGGUGCCACACACUUUUAAACAACUAGAUCUCAUGAGGACGGCACCAGGUCAUUCAUGAGGGAUUCACUCUUAUGAUCCAAACACCUCCCUCCCUGCCCCACCUACAACGUCGAGGAUUACAUUCCAACAUGAGAUUUGGAGGGGCAAACAUCUAGAUGAUGUCAUGUUACUAAAAAUAGACAUAGACCUCUAGACUCAGACCAUUCAUUUCAACUUCAAUGCAUUUUUUAUUGUGCAACCUAGUACAUUUUUCUUCACUCUAUACCAUAUGACAUCAGGUUACAAGCAGAUUCACUAUUUUAUUUUAAUCAUUAUUUUGUGUGUAAUGGGUCAAUCAACAGAUACCUCAUAAUUCCUUCCAUAUAUACAGUAGUAAAAGAGGUGCAGAGAGUUGCUUGUUUCUGCUCUAGAAUAGGUUAGUCUUUGGAUACUGUAGCAGGAUCCAUUAUGACAUUAUCAAAGUAUAUGAUUUGAGAAGGAACAGGUACAGAAAAGUAAUUAUACAGACUUUCAGAUCAAAGAAAGAACAUAGUUUACAUCAAGUUAUGGAGAAGAAUCUCACAGAAGAUGGAAACAGUUAUACUUUGGGAAGAUAACAUAAACAAAACAAAAAACGAAAAAAUGUACCAGUAUAUUUAAGAUGAUGGACAUUAGACCAAUCAGACUAAAAUUGAAGAUAUUUAUAGGGAAAUGAUAAAGCACUGUGUGAAAAAUGUAUUGCUGACAUGCUCUUAUAUGACUUUAUCCAGUAGAAAAUGGGAGUACUUGAAAAUGUACAUCAAAGUCAAAUGCCACCUUUAGACCACUCCAAUGUGCCAGAUAAUUUCCAAAAGUUAUCUUCUUAAUGCUCUAGUUAAUCCUAUUGGAAAUAAUAUUAGUUUUCACAUUUCCUAAUUGAAAACUGUAACUGGGCAAUAUUAAAAUAAAUGGUUCCAAUGAGCAGUAACAGAGUUCUGAAAUUAAGUUUGUAGUACUUUUUUUUUUUAAACCAAGUUUUUAUGUUGAGACUAUAAAGACAUUGAAGGCAGUAAAACUGUCAUUUAUUUCCCAUUAUAUUCUAUAUAUUUCAUAUAGUGUAUGGAACUUAAUGUUUAAUAAAAGUAUUUUUAAUUAAAUAGGUGAGAUGAAUAAUGUAUAUGAUUUAAAAUCUAACAGUAGCAUACAAGAUGAUUGUGAAUAAAGAGGCAGGAAGAAUGACAUCCUUAUGGUAGUAUUUUGUAUGUGAAAAUGUUAAGAAUGCACUAAGGUCAUUUCAGCAAAGGUGAAAGGAAAUGACAUAGAUUAUAAGAUGGGUGACCAUAAAGGAUCUUUGUGUGUUUUAUAUCUCCCUGAGUAAAAUAACAAAAUUGAGCUACUAGUUGUUAGAUAUAUUGAACACAUUGCAAUUAUUUUGUUGUUCUUUAUGUUGGCAUUAUUCUACUUCUUUUAUCCAUCCCAACUUUAGUCUGAACUUCUCAAAUAAAGACUCUCUUUUAUUGGCAAGCUCAGAGUACGGAAUAUUUUUGUAAGCAGUGUGGAUACAAAUCUGUCAAACACUUUACUGUGGCUACAAAAUCAGGUGCUCAUAAAAUUGAGAUACAGCUCUAGUUUAAACCAUGUUAGUAUUUC